UGGGGAAUCUUCCGCAAUGGGCGAAAGCCUGACGGAGCAAUGCCGCGUGAGUGAAGAAGGCCUUCGGGUUGUAAAACUCUGUCCUUAUCGAAGAGAGGUGGGUAUGUGAAUAAUGUACCUAUAGGACGGUAGAUAAGGAGGAAGCCCCGGCUAACUACGUGCCAGCAGCCGCGGUAAUACGUAGGGGGCGAGCGUUGUCCGGAAUCACUGGGCAUAAAGGGCGCGUAGGCGGUUUAAUAAGUCAGUGGUGAAAACUGAGGGCUCAACCCUCAGCCUGCCACUGAUACUGUUAGGCUUGAGUAUGGAAGAGGAGAAUGGAAUUCCUAGUGUAGCGGUGAAAUGCGUAGAUAUUAGGAGGAACACCAGUGGCGAAGGCGAUUCUCUGGGCCAAGACUGACGCUGAGGCGCGAAAGCGUGGGGAGCAAACAGGAUUAGAUACCC
rnacentral:rRNA from 1 species